GGAAACCAUUGGGAAACCAGACCUAAGUCAGGUUAAGGGUAGUACUGGAUUGCAGAAACACACAGACAAACAGUACACUGGUGAUGAAAAACUUCAUUUAAUGCAAUCCCGACCCUGCCAUAGUGAACAAACGACAUCCAUUCAGGCCCAGACUGAUUGUUUACAUGUAGCGCAGUAUUCACCGUCAGCCUUAGCAGCAUUAGUGGGAGACCAUGUUACAGAGAUUCCUGAUGAUAUCAUCGUUGCAGCUCUGAAUCUGUUAAAGUCUGUGUGUAAUAAUGAAUUGGAACCUUAUGUUGGAUACUUCACUCCUGC